CGCGCCUCUUGUAGCUCCGGCGCCCCCGCCCCGCGAGGCCCUGCGGGUGGCCCUGGGGCCCAGCGGCUCCGCUUCCUCUUCCUGCCCGCGGCGGUGGGGGCGGGGCGGACACCUGCCGUCCGCAGGCCCGCUCCAACCUCUGGGCUGCUGGAGGCCGCCUAGCUCGCGGGCCCGCGCGCGCCGAUCCGCUGGGAGCCGGAUACGCGGUCUCCGACGCCGGCCGUGGGCUCGCGGAAGCGCACAGCGCACUACUUGACGCGGAAGGAUCCGGGCUUCCGCGGUCACCUGUCCUCCACUCGAAUCCGACCUCGGCCAAAGGGCCCGCUAUGACGAUCGUCCGCCCCACGGAGAAGGGAUACUGGUUCAGUCUCACUCGCGCCGCCGACCUCACAAUGGCGCGGACACCCGGGCACUGUCACGCAGCGGCCCUUGCGCUUCUUCGCCCAGAGCUUCUCGGCUGUGGGGACCACGGCGGAACCCUUCUCCCCACUCGCCUAUUCAGAUGAUGCGAACGUCCCCACUCGACACCAUGACGCUGUUUUAACAAUGCCCAACUCUGUUCUUCCAAACUGCACACACUUAAAGGCACCCACUGAAGCCAGAAGAGGGGAUGGGAUCCCUUGGAGCUGGAAUUAACUACACAAUGUUGUGAAGCUGCCAGCAUGAGUGCUGGGAACUGAACAUGGGUCUUUUGGGAGAGCAGCAAGGACUUUUACCGCAGGAACCAUCUCUCUAGUCACACCUCCCUAUUGUUUCUAAUUCCUGAGGCUUUGAAGUCUUCUACUGAAGGCUGUAUUCUUCCAUCUCCUUCUUGGGAAUGGAACCCAGAACUUUGUCCAUGCUCAGCAGUGUUCCAGUCAUUCUUUAAUGCCAGUUAAUACCAUGCCAACUAUAAAACCAAGGGGCUUUCCUUCGACAAAUAAACCUUGAUAUUGCCAAUAA